CUUCCAUUCAUUUAGUAAAGUAACUGACGAUCAUAAAGAUGAAUCAAUGACCGCCAGGCUCUUUUAGCGAGAUCGACCAAAUGACCUUCAUGCCCCAUAUAAGGAGAAGUCAUGUAUCCCAAUGAUUCUUUGUAAGGUAAGAUCCGUUUCUCGACUUGUUCUGCCAUCCUUAACAAGUCCAAAAAUAGGCUACAAUCUAUGUCAUCUUCAAAGUCAUGAAAUCCCUAUAAACACAUGCCUUGCUCAAAAGGAAAUUCUA
rnacentral:lncRNA from 1 species